rnacentral:tRNA from 1 species
GGCGCUCUCCCCGAGCGGGCACGCUCCUUUGUACCGAGCGGCGUGCGGGUGCGACUCCCGCGAGCGCCU